rnacentral:rRNA from 1 species
AUGACAACGGCCAUGACUGGCACCUUUGAGAUCCGUCUCCAUUACAAAUUCUACAAAACAUUAACAUCUCCGUCACACCUCUUCGCUCAUGCAGGUCGCCGCUGGAGCCGGACAAGAUCAUGGCUUGCCUUACCUGGUGACAUACUGGCUAGGAAGAGUGCAAGCUGCGGCCCACACGUACCAGAUGGUGUCGUCAAGGAUGUUGUCGUACUGACUGCCGAUGAUCUACAGGAGGAGUGCGCGCAGGGGGAGUGGCGGGUCAAGGUGCUCUCAUCGGCGCCGCUGCUGACCGGCAGAUCCAGGCGCACCCUCUCGGUGCGCGCAGGGGGGUGA